AAAAAGUCUUCUCAUAUACCACCAGAGCCUCUAAAUACAUACAUCUCAUGAUUCCUUAUUCUAUCUAGUAUCACAUCAUAUUAAUUGGAAAAAUGAGUUAGUCAAUCUAUCAUUUUAUGAUCCAUUUUGGAUUCUUCUUCUAUUAUCAUUCCUCUGGGGCUAUUUCUUGUCUCAUGUAUAGAACUCAUUAGAAAUCCAAUGCAUCCUUUCUUAAAAUGCCCUGUCCCUUCAAGCCUUAUACCAUGUUUUCUUAAAUUUCUUUAUUCCUUCUCAGAUCUUUUUUUUUUUUUUUUGGUAAGAUCUUAUUUUUAAUUCCUCUGCCUCUCUGAUGAUCAUAUUUUUCCUACAUUCUCCAACAUACCAAAUA
rnacentral:lncRNA from 1 species